GACGAACGCUGGCGGCGUGCUUAACACAUGCAAGUCGAACGAUGAAGCCUAGCUUGCUAGGUGGAUUAGUGGCGAACGGGUGAGUAAUACGUGAGUAACCUACCUUUAACUCUGGGAUAAGCCUGGGAAACUGGGUCUAAUACCGGAUACGACCAAUCUCCGCAUGGGGUGUUGGUGGAAAGCGUUAUGUAGUGGUUAUAGAUGGGCUCACGGCCUAUCAGCUUGUUGGUGAGGUAACGGCUCACCAAGGCGACGACGGGUAGCCGGCCUGAGAGGGUGACCGGCCACACUGGGACUGAGACACGGCCCAGACUCCUACGGGUGGCAGCAGUGGGGAAUAUUGCACAAUGGGCGCAAGCCUGAUGCAGCGACGCCGCGUGAGGGAUGACGGCCUUCGGGUUGUAAACCUCUGUUAGCAGGGAAGAAGAGAAAUUGACGGUACCUGCAGAGAAAGCGCCGGCUAACUACGUG
rnacentral:rRNA from 1 species